GACGAACGCUGGCGGCGUGCCUAAUACAUGCAAGUCGAGCGAAUCUUUAGGAGCUUGCUCCUAAAGGUUAGCGGCGGACGGGUGAGUAACACGUGGGCAACCUGCCUAUAAGACUGGGAUAACUUCGGGAAACCGGAGCUAAUACCGGAUAAUUCCUUUCCUCUCAUGAGGAAAGGCUGAAAGACGGUUUCGGCUGUCACUUAUAGAUGGGCCCGCGGCGCAUUAGCUAAUUGGUGAGGUAACGGCUCACCAAGGCAACGAUGCGUAGCCGACCUGAGAGGGUGAUCGGCCACACUGGGACUGAGACACGGCCCAGACUCCUACGGGAGGCUGCAGUAGGGAAUCUUCCGCAAUGGACGAAAGUCUGACGGAGCAACGCCGCGUGAGUGAUGAAGGUUUUCGGAUCGUAAAACUCUGUUGUUAGGGAAGAACAAGUACGAGAGUAACUGCUCGUACCUUGACGGUACCUAACCAGAAAGCCACGGCUAACUACGUGCCAGCCGCCGCUGUAACAC
rnacentral:rRNA from 1 species